GCCCUUAGAGUUUGAUCAUGGCUCAGAGCGAACGCUGGCGGCAGGCCUAACACAUGCAAGUCGAACGCAGUCUUCGGACUGAGUGGCAGACGGGUGAGUAACGCGUGGGAACGUGCCCAUCGGUUCGGAAUAACCAAGGGAAACUUUGGCUAAUACCGGAUACGUGCGAGAGCAGAAAGAUUUAUCGCCGAUGGAUCGGCCCGCGUCUGAUUAGCUGGUUGGUGGGGUAACGGCUCACCAAGGCGACGAUCAGUAGCUGGUUUGAGAGGAUGAUCAGCCACACUGGGACUGAGACACGGCCCAGACUCCUACGGGAGGCAGCAGUGGGGAAUAUUGGACAAUGGGCGCAAGCCUGAUCCAGCCAUGCCGCGUGAGUGAUGAAGGCCUUAGGGUUGUAAAGCUCUUUUAUCCGGGACGAUAAUGACGGUACCGGAAGAAUAAGCCCCGGCUAACUUCGUGCCAGCAGCCGCGGUAAUACGAAGGGGGCUAGCGUUGCUCGGAAUCACUGGGCGUAAAGGGCGCGUAGGCGGACAUUUAA
rnacentral:rRNA from 1 species